GACGAACGCUGGCGGCGUGCUUAACACAUGCAAGUCGAACGGAAAGGCCCUGCUUUUGUGGGGUGCUAGAGUGGCGAACGGGUGAGUAACACGUGAGUAACCUGCCCUUGACUUUGUGAUAACUUCAGGAAACUGCGGCUAAUACCGGAUAGGAGCUCCUGCUGCAUGGUGGUGGUUGGAACGUUUCGGCGGUUGGGGAUGGACUCGCGGCUUAUCAGCUUGUUGGUGGGGUAGUGGCUUACCAAGCCUUUGACGGGUAGCCGGCCUGGGAGGGUGACCGGCCACAUUGGGACUGAGGGACGGCCCAGACGCCUACGGGAGGCAGCAGUGGGGAAUAUUGCACAAUGGGCGGAAGCCUGAUGCAGAAACGCCGCGUGCGGGAUGACGGCCUUCGUGUUGUAAACCGCUUUCGCCUGUGACGAAGCGUGAGUGACGGUAAUGGGUAAAGAAGCACCGGCUAACUACGUG
rnacentral:rRNA from 1 species